rnacentral:rRNA from 1 species
GACGAACGCUGGCGGCGUGCUUAACACAUGCAAGUCGAACGGAAAGGCCCUGCUUUUGUGGGGUGCUCGAGUGGCGAACGGGUGAGUAACACGUGAGUAACCUGCCCUUGACUUUGGGAUAACUUCAGGAAACUGGGGCUAAUACCGGAUAGGAGCUCCUGCUGCAUGGUGGGGGUUGGAAAGUUUCGGCGGUUGGGGAUGGACUCGCGGCUUAUCAGCUUGUUGGUGGGGUAGUGGCUUACCAAGGCUUUGACGGGUAGCCGGCCUGAGAGGGUGACCGGCCACAUUGGGACUGAGGUAAGGCCCAGCAUCCUACGGGAGGCAGCAGUGGGGAAUAUUGCACAAUGGGCGGAAGCCUGAUGCAGCAACGCCGCGUGCGGGAGGACGGCCUUCGGGUUGUAAACCGCUUUCGCCUGUGACGAAGCGUGAGUGACGGUAAUGGGUAAAGAAGCACCGGCUAACUACGUG